rnacentral:rRNA from 1 species
GACGAAGGGGGCUAGCGUUGUUCGGAAUUACUGGGCGUAAAGCGUGUGUAGGUGGUUGUCAUAGUCAGGUGUGAAAGCCUUGAGCUCAACUCAAGAAAUGCACUUGAUACUGGGCAGCUAGAGGACCGGAGAGGAUAGUGGAAUUCCCAGUGUAGUGGUGAAAUACGUAGAGAUUGGGAAGAACACCAGUGGCGAAGGCGGCUAUCUGGACGGUUUCUGACACUAAGACACGAAAGCGAUGGG